rnacentral:snoRNA from 15 species
GGCCCAUGAUGACUGGUAAAAGGUCUGACACCCCAGGCCCGUGUGCCCUGCCGUCCCCAGCUGCCCCUCCCCUGUCAGGCUGCAGCCAUGCCAUGCUGGGCACAGGGCAGCUGACACCUUGUGGUGCCCCCACCCCGUGUCCCUGACGAGCCCAGGUGCCACUGUGGUUGGUGCCCAACAGCUGCAUGACCAAGGGACCUGGAGGCAGAGCACACCGGGGUCUGGGGGCUGAUCUGACGUUGCCAAGCUGAGGCC